GCUUUAGCUCAGAGGUAGAUCACGUGACUUAUGGCCACGUGGUCGUGGGUUUGAUCCCCACGGAAGGCA
rnacentral:tRNA from 1 species